GCCGGUGAUGGUGGAGGGCAAGGCCAUCCAGCUUCACCCGCUGGUCUGCGCUCCGUUCAACGCCGACUUCGACG
rnacentral:tRNA from 1 species